UGCUGUUUUUUGAAGGAGGGGAGAGUUUUAAGAUGUCAGAGAAAGAUUAUGAAAAUGUUGAAAAAAUGUUGGAAUUUGGGGCCCAAGUGUUUUUGAACUGGUUGGACAAAGUCAGAGAUGUAACUGAAAGAAUGGUGAGAGAAAACCAGCUGAGAACAACCAGAAUUGCAAUCCAAGGUCACUGGAAUUCUUUCAAAGA